rnacentral:rRNA from 1 species
UACGUAGGGAGCAAGCGUUGUCCGGAAUCAUUGGGCGUAAAGCGCGCGUAGGUGGCCAUGUAAGUCCGCUGUGAAAGUCGGGGGCUCAACCCUCGAAUGCCGGUGGAUACUGUCGGGCUAGAGUGCGGAAGAGGCGAGUGGAAUUCCUGGUGUAGCGGUGAAAUGCGCAGAUAUCAGGAGGAACACCUAUUGCGAAGGCAGCUCGCUGGGACGUAACUGACGCUGAGACGCGAAAGCGUGGGGAGCAAACAGG